rnacentral:rRNA from 1 species
GACGAACGCUGGCGGCGUGCUUAACACAUGCAAGUCGAACGGAAAGGCCCUGCUUUUGUGGGGUGCUCGAGUGGCGAACGGGUGAGUAACACGUGAGUAACCUGCCCUUGACUUUGGGAUAACUUCAGGAAACUGGGGCUAAUACCGGAUAGGAGCUCCUGCUGCAUGGUGGGGGUUGGAAAGUUUCGGCGGUUGGGGAUGGACUCGCGGCUUAUCAGCUUGUUGGUGGGGUAGUGGCUUACCAAGGCUUUGACGGGUAGCCGGCCUGAGAGGGUGACCGGCAACAUUGGGACUGAGAUACGGCCCAGACUCCUACGGGAGGCAGCAGGGGGGAAUAUUGAACAAUGGGCGGAAGCCUGAUGCAGCAACGCCGCGUGCGGGAUGACGGCCUUCGGGUUGUAAACCGCUUUCGCCUGUGACGAAGCGUGAGUGACGGUAAUGGGUAAAGAAGCACCGGCUAACUACGUG